UGGGGUUUCACCAUGUUAGCCAGUCUGGUCCCUGACCUCAGGUGAUCCGCCAACCUCGGCCUCCCAAAGUGCUGGGAUUACAGGCGUGAGCCACCACAUCUGGUCUAAUUUCUCCAGUUUUUAAAAUGAGUUAUUAACUUCUGAUAUUCUCAGCCCCCUCCUCGUCUAUAUUCCCUUCUCUACUCCUCUCCUAUGAUUCCUUCUCCUUUUCUCUCAUCUUUUUCUUAUGUUAUCCUCUUUAUGGGAAGACUUAUCUUUAGCCAUACUUUUAACUUAUGGCCAUGAUACCCAAAUUUAUCAUUUUUAGCCCAAACCUAGGCUUCUCACCUGAAUAACCAAUUCUAGAUAGCAUCUAGAUAGCAUCUAGGAGACAACAUCCACUUGCUGUUGCCCAAGACGAAAAUAUCUGAGAAAAAUCUGAGUCAUCUCUUUCUCUUCUUUGUUCUCCAUUUUCAAUGAUCACCAAGUUCUAUCAGUCCAUGUCUUAAGUAUGUUUCAAAAUUUCUUCUUUCCAUAGUCAUGACCGUUGGCCUAGGUUGAGCAAUGGGCUAGCUUUGAAACUCUCUCAGUGAUCUUUUUGAUGUUUAUCUUAUAUAAACCUUCCUGAAAAACCCAUCUAUUACCCAUGCCGCCUUCUAAGAUGCAGAUCUUAUCAGAUUACUUCCCUUCUCAACAUUGCUCAGUAGCUUUCCAUUAGCUACAGAAUAAAAUUUAAAAUUCUUUUGUAUGGCUUAGAAGACCCUUUAAUUACCUGUCCAUUUUUACCUCUUGUAAUCCUUAUCUUUACUACUCGUGACGCCUUAUACUUCAGAAAUUUUAAUAUUUUCUAGUUUCUGAAUCUCAAGCAUAAGAUACAGUUUCACAUUUGUUUCUGCCUUUGUUUGUGCAUGUUGCAUUGCCUCUUUUCUUCUAAUUUGCCUGACAAACACCUACAAAUCCUCCAAGUGUCCUCUCAAGAUCUGUCUCCUCUGUGAUGCCAUCCUCAACUUCCUUAAGUAGGUUUUCUUUCCCUAAAAUGCCAUUACACCUACUCUAUUAUAGCAAUUUUUCUCUUUAUAUUGGUUUUUCUGGCUCCCACUUCUUGAGAAUUGCAACAAUUUCUUUCAUUUUUUAUUGUUUUUAUUUUUAAUUUUUAUGGGUACAUGGUGCAUAUAUUUAUGGGGUACAUGAGAUAUUUUGACGCAGGCAUACAAUGUGUGAUAAUUGCAUCAAGGUAAAUGGGGUAUCCAUCACCUUAAGCAUUUAUAAUUUCUUUGUAUUAUGUGCAUUUUAAUUAUACUCCUUUAGUUAUUUUAAAAUGUACAAUAAAUUAUUGUUGACCAUAAUCACUCUGUUGUGCAUACUAGCUCUUAUUCAUUCUAUCUAACUCUACUUUUGUACCCAUUAACCAUCCCCAGGUCCCCACCAUCACCACCACCCAACUACCCUUCCCAGCCUCUGGUAAUCAUCAUUCUACUUUCUAUCUCCAUGAGUUCAGUUGUUUUAAUCUUUAGCUCCCACAGAUGGAUGAGAACAUAAGAAGUUUGUCUUUCUGUUCCUGGUUUAUUUCACUUAACAUGUCCUCCUGUUCCAUUCAUGUUAUUCCAAAUGACAGGAUUUAAUUAUUUUUAAUGGCUGAAUAUUACUCCAUUGUGUAUAUGUACUACCUUUUCUUUAUUCAGUCAUCUUUUUUUUUAUUUUUUUUAUUUUUUUUGAGAUGGAGUUUCGCUCUUGUUGCCCAGGCUGGAGUGCAAUGGUGCGAUCUUGGCUUACUGCAAAAUCCGCCUCCCGGGUUCAAGUGAUUCUCC
rnacentral:lncRNA from 1 species